rnacentral:rRNA from 1 species
AACCACUGCGAGAGCAGAACGACCCGCGAACCCGUGACACUGCCCCGAGCGUCUCCCCGGGUGCGGGAUCCGUCCCGUUCCCCGGGGGCGCACAACGAACCCCCGGCGCGGACUGCGCCAAGGAAAUCUAACGAGAGAGCACGCUCCCGGUGCCCCGGGACGCGGCGCCUUCUUUCACUGUAUCUAUAACGACUCUCGGCAACGGAUAUCUCGGCUCUCGCAUCGAUGAAGAACGUAGCGAAAUGCGAUACUUGGUGUGAAUUGCAGAAUCCCGUGAACCAUCGAGUCUUUGAACGCAAGUUGCGCCCCAAGCCUUUAGGCCGAGGGCACGUCUGCCUGGGUGUCACGCACCGUUGCCCCACCCCGCCCCCUCCCCGGGGGACCGGCGGUGCGGGCGGAAACUGGCCUCCCGUGCGCUCCCCGCUCGCGGUUGGCCCAAAUCCGAGUCUCCGGCGAACGGAGCCGCGGCCAUCGGUGGUGGAAACGCACCUCUCGAGCUCGCGCCGCGCUCCCGUCUCUCCGAUUCGGGACUCAGGGACCCUGACGCUCCGCGCUAGCGGCGCUCGCAUCGCGACC